rnacentral:misc_RNA from 1 species
GUAGCAUCCGUUAAUGACAUUGCACCGCGGGCCACUCUUGCCCCCGCGAACAAAGAGCAAGACCGACUCCGGGGCAAGCGUCAUUCAAGGCAAUCGAUAUUCGAGGGACAGAAAGGGGCAUCACCCCAUUUCACCGCAUGGACCGCAUCCGAGAGAACGGUAUAUGCCCGUGUACCACAAAAGUCAUGACGACGCAUAACUAAUAUGGAGCACAUGCAUUACCUUGAAAUCCUCCGGCAAACCCGCAAAGGAGACCCGGACGGAAGGAAAGUUACGAGCCACACGAAUACCAUUUUACAGGUAGUCAGCACAGGAACGCCGAAUGAACACCAGAGCC